AUUGAACGCUGGCGGCAGGCCUAACACAUGCAAGUCGAGCGGAUGAAGGGAGCUUGCUCCUGGAUUCAGCGGCGGACGGGUGAGUAAUGCCUAGGAAUCUGCCUGGUAGUGGGGGAUAACGUCCGGAAACGGGCGCUAAUACCGCAUACGUCCUGAGGGAGAAAGUGGGGGAUCUUCGGACCUCACGCUAUCAGAUGAGCCUAGGUCGGAUUAGCUAGUUGGUGGGGUAAAGGCCUACCAAGGCGACGAUCCGUAACUGGUCUGAGAGGAUGACCAGUCACACUAGAACUGAGACACGGUCCAGACUCCUACGGGAGGCAGCAGUGGGGAAUAUUGGACAAUGGGCGAAAGCCUGAUCCAGCCAUGCCGCGUGUGUGAAGAAGGUCUUCGGAUUGUAAAGCACUUUAAGUUGGGAGGAAGGGCAGUAAGUUAAUACCUUGCUGUUUUGACGUUACCAACAGAAUAAGCACCGGCUAACUUCGUG
rnacentral:rRNA from 1 species